AGAGUUUGAGUUCUGGCUCAGGAUGAACGCUAGCUACAGGCUAACACAUGCAAGUCGAGGGCAGCAUGGUCUUAGCUUGCUAAGGCUGAUGGCGACCGGCGCACCGGGUGAGUAACGCGUAUCCAACCUUCCCCAUAGUAGGGGAUAGCCCGGCGAAAGUCGGAUUAAUACCCUAUGUUAUUCGAUGCAGACAUCUAAGUUGAAUCAAAGGUUUACCGCUAUGGGAUGGGGAUGCGUCUGAUUAGGUUGCAGGCGGGGUAACGGCCCACCUGGCCUACGAUCAGUAGGGGUUCUGAGAGGAAGGUCCCCCACAUUGGAACUGAGACACGGUCCAAACUCCUACGGGAGGCAGCAGUGAGGAAUAUUGGUCAAUGGACGAGAGUCUGAACCAGCCAAGUAAGCGUGCAGGACGACGGCCCUAUGGGUUGUAAACUGCUUUUAUGCGGGGAUAAAGUGAGGGACGUGUCCCUUUUUGUAGGUACCGCAUGAAUAAGGACCGGCUAAUUCCGUGCCAGCCGCCGC
rnacentral:rRNA from 1 species